CGCUCGCGAUAGCCUAUUUGCGUACAAGGUUAGAUAAGACUAGCUGGUCAAAAGACGCCACUUGGCAAGUCGCCUGGAAGCGAUCUGAGGUUGUGAUAGCGCGCUACAAGUGUCCUGGCAUGAAUUCCGGCUCGGCCGGAAUCACAGCGUCUUGGCCGGAGAGAGCUGAUCAACAAAUAUUUGCAGUUCAAUCUUCAAUCGCCACUCAUCAACAGGCACCAAGAACGCAACUAACGCAACUAUGAAGAGAAUUAAGGGGACAUUGGUCGGUGUUCUCCUCUAAGCAGGUCUCUUGGGUGAAUUCCUUGCCCUCGUAGUAUACAGCGCGCGCGAAAUGGCUUUCAAAGCCAACUCGGCGCUCCUAACAGAGGCUCGGCAUUGUCCAGAGAGACCGCUUCCUCCAACGCCGGGCUGCCGACCGGGCACAUCUCCAAGUAGACUGGGCAGACACCCACUCCCUGUGGAACGUGUGGCCCAAACUGGAGGAGGUGGCUCAUUUCGCCGUCCUGUUCGUGGCGAGUUCUGUGCUGGUCGAUCGUGUGUAUCGUGGUGGUAAGCGCUGCGUAUCCCAACAAGCAAAAUGCGCCAAGACCUCCUGGCCACGGAACCGACGAUGUAUCCGAAAUUUCCAGCCAGGAAAAUCUCACUGGAUGAACGCUAGCCUGAGCGUGUCAGUUCGUUCAGAGAGAGAACGUGCGCGCAGGAAGAGUUGGACGACCUGCUACAUCAAAAAAGUGGCCUUUUUAAUACAGCUCGGUAUUGAAUUUGCGCUACUAGCCAAAUUAAAACGUCUG